UACGGGGGGAGCAAGCGUUGUUCGGAUUUACUGGGCGUAAAGGGCGCGUAGGCGGCGCCGCAAGUCGACUGUGAAAUCUCCGGGCUUAACCCGGAAAGGUCAGCCGAUACUGCGGGGCUAGAGUGCAGAAGGGGCAACUGGAAUUCUCGGUGGUAGCGGUGAAAUGCGUAGAUAUCGAGAGGAACACCUGCGGCGAAGGCGGGUUGCUGGGCUGAUACUGACGCUGAGGCGCGAAAGCCAGGGGAGCGAACGGG
rnacentral:rRNA from 1 species